rnacentral:rRNA from 1 species
GGACACCUGCCCUCGGGUGGGGGAUAACCCCGAGAAACUGGGGCUAAUCCCCCAUAGGGGAUGGGUACUGGAAUGUCCCAUCUCCGAAAGCGCUUAGCGCCCGAGGAUGGGUCUGCGGCGGAUUAGGUUGUUGGUGGGGUAACGGCCCACCAAGCCGAAGAUCCGUACGGGCCAUGAGAGUGGGAGCCCGGAGAUGGACCCUGAGACACGGGUCCAGGCCCUACGGGGCGCAGCAGGCGCGAAACCUCCGCAAUGCGGGAAACCGCGACGGGGUCAGCCGGAGUGCUCGCGCAUCGCGCGGGCUGUCGGGGUGCCUAAAAAGCACCCCAUAGCAAGGGCCGGGCAAGGCCGGUGGCAGCCGCCGCGGUAAUACCGGCGGCCCGAGUGGCGGCCACUUUUAUUGGGCCUAAAGCGUCCGUAGCCGGGCUGGUAAGUCCUCCGGGAAAUCUGGUCGCUUAACGAUCAGACUGCCGGAGGAUACUGCCAGCCUAGGGACCGGGAGAGGCCGGGGGUAUUCCCGGGGUAGGGGUGAAAUCCUGUAAUCCCGGGAGGACCACCUGUGGCGAAGGCGCCCGGCUGGAACGGGUCCGACGGUGAGGGACGAAGGCCAGGGGAGCGAACCGGAUUAGAUACCCGGGUAGUCCUGGCUGUAAACGAUGCGGACUAGGUGUCACCGAAGCUACGAGCUUCGGUGGUGCCGGAGGGAAGCCGUUA